rnacentral:rRNA from 1 species
AGAGUUUGAUCCUGGCUCAGGACGAACGCUGGCGGCAAGCUUAACACAUGCAAGUCGAACGCAUCGCAAGAUGAGUGGCAGACGGGUGAGUAACGCGUGGGAACAUGCCCUUUGGUUCGGAACAACACAGGGAAACUUGUGCUAAUACCGGAUAAUCCCUACGGGGAAAAGAUUUAUCGCCGAAGGAUUGGCCCGCGUCGGAUUAGCUAGUUGGCGAGGUAAAGGCUCACCAAGGCGACGAUCCGUAGCUGGUCUGAGAGGACGAUCAGCCACACUGGGACUGAGAUACGGCCCAGACUCCUACGGGAGGCAGCAGUGGGGAAUAUUGGACAAUGGGCGCAAGCCUGAUCCAGCUAUGCCGCGUGGAUGAAGAAGGCCCUAGGGUUGUAAAGUCCUUUCGGCGGGGAAGAUAAUGACGGUACCCGCAAAAGAAGCCCCGGCUAAUUUCGUGCCAGCAGCCGCGGUAAUAC